AUACUUACCUGGCAGGGGAGAUACCAUGAUCAUGAAGGUGGUUCUCCCAGGGCGAGGCUCAUCCAUUGCACUCCGGAUGUGCUGACCCCUGCGAUUUCCCCAAAUGCGGGAAACUCGACUGCAUAAUUUCUGGUAGUGGGGGACUGCGUUCGCGCUUUCCCCUG
rnacentral:snRNA from 1 species